GUAUUGGCAAUAAUCAUGGCAAUAUGAUGCGUAUCAUGAUACAGGGGUUACGAUUCAAUAUAUCGUGAUACUGUACGCAAGGUAACAUAUUGCAAUGUUUUAAAAUCCAAUUUUAGGAAAACCUCAUAGUAUAAAGAACACACCACCAUAUGCAUAAAAGAGGAGUAAA